AUGGUGUCCCAUAGCUUUGGCGCCAUAUCUUCCAAGUCUGAUGUCUAUAGCUUCAGGAUGUUGUUGCUGGAGAUGGCCGGGGGGCGGAGGAACUUGGACCCACAAGCGUCAAGAAGCCAGACAUACUACCCGUCAUGGGUGUACAAUCAGCUGUCUCGGCAAGAGGUGGGUGAGAUCUCGGAGGCUGUUGGUAUCCAUCAGGUCGAGAGGAAGCUGUGCAUCGUUGCGUUGUGGUGCAUCCAGAUGAAGCCAGACGAUCGACCGGCCAUGAGCGAGGUGCUAGACAUGCUCAAAGCUGGCAUCGAUGGCCUGGAGGUGCCUCCCGAGCCUUUCUUCUGCGGGGACGAGUUUGCCCCUGCUGCAGAUUCUUCAGUAUUAUCAGAGAUAAGUACAUUCUCAGAGUGA
rnacentral:rRNA from 1 species